CAGUCGCCACGGUAAUACGGAGGGUGCAAGCGUUAAUCGGAAUUACUGGGCGUAAAGCGCACGCAGGCGGUCUGACAAGUCAGAUGUGAAAUCCCCGGGCUUAACCUGGGAACUGCAUUUGAAACUGUCAGGCUGGAGUCUUGUAGAGGGGGGUGGAAUUCCAGGUGUAGCGGUGAAAUGCGUAGAGAUCUGGAGGAAUACCGGUGGCGAAGGCGGCCCCCUGGACAAAGACUGACGCUCAGGUGCGAAAGCGUGGGGAGCAAACAGGAUUAGAUACCCCCGUAGUCCAUGUCUCUUAUAC
rnacentral:rRNA from 1 species